AUACGGAGGAUCCGAGCGUUAUCCGGAUUUAUUGGGUUUAAAGGGUGCGCAGGCGGCCAUUUAAGUCAGCGGUUAAAUCGUGGGGCUCAACCCCAUUCUGCCGUUGAUACUGGGUGGCUUGAUUGCGGUCGAGGUUGGCGGAAUUCGUUGUGUAGCGGUGAAAUGCAUAGAUAUGACGAAGAACACCGAUUGCGUAGGCAGCUGACCAGACCGCAAAUGACGCUCAUGCACGAAAGUGCGGGGAUCGAACAGGAGUAGAUACCCUGGUAGUCCGCACAGUAAACGAUGAAUACUUGUUUUCGGCGAUAUAAUGUCGGAGGCAAAGCGAAAGCGAUAAGUAUUCCACCUGGGGAGUACGCCGGCAACGGUGAAACUCAAAGGAAUUGACGGGG
rnacentral:rRNA from 1 species